UGAGAAUUCAGCUGAUGCUUCUCAAUCAAGUGGUGGUGAAAAUGCCAGUGAUGCUGGAACAAGCACCUAAUGAAACUUUCAUUUCUGCAGUUGCUCAUCUUCUCUCUAUUCUGAAAAAAGAUGGGGGGCUCUGCUUGGGUUGGAUAAGUAGGUGUAUUUCAGGACCUCCCAUUGUGAUUACUAGAGGAAUGAAAACUGAUUAAAGUAACACUCUGUGAGCAUAAUGCAGUAGUAACGAGGUUCAGUGUUGGUUUUCUUGUAUGUUUUGAAAUGAGAUUCAGAUAUUCGUUGCUCUGGAACCUUCUUUUCCUUACUGCCAUUUGGUUAUUCUCUAAAAACUUUUGCUGUUUUGACAAGUCAUGAACAAACUUCUAUUUGUGCAAUUCAUGUGUUUAGCCCUGGCACUUGUAGUAACUUUUGCCGGAUGCCAAUAGACAGGUUCUCUUUCUCAGCAAUUAAACGUAAAUGAAACCUGUUCAAGUAAUCUUCUUCUCAGGAUUCACUUGAUUCAUAAGAACAUAUUAUAUAUUGAUAAAUAUUUCAUAUUUGUGUCACAACUAUUUGUAUUAAAGCGCCAAUUUGCCCCUUCCCCAACUCUAUCUUCCUUAUCAGUGAACCGGAACAUAGUGCAUAGGUGAAUUUGGAGUCCGUGGGUAGUUAGCUCUUCUUUUUCUUUUU
rnacentral:lncRNA from 1 species